UACGUAGGGUGCAGGCGUUACUCGGAAUUACUGGGCGUAAAGCGUGCGCAGGCGGUUUGCUAAGACAGGUGUGAAAUCCCCGGGCUUAACCUGGGAACUGCGCUUGUAACUGGCAAGCUAGAGUGUGGCAGAGGGGGGUGGAAUUCCACGUGUAGCAGUGAAAUGCGUAGAGAUGUGGAGGAACACCGAUGGCGAAGGCAGCCCCCUGGGCUAACACUGACGCUCAUGCACGAAAGCGUGGGGAGCAAACAGG
rnacentral:rRNA from 1 species